UUUGGCAAAUUUUUCCCUCAUUUUUUCUCGAAGAGAUUUCCGCUCUCGUGUUAUCUCCUCAUGAGCUGGAUCUUCUACAUUUCUCUGGCCGUCCUCAGCCAUUAGCCGCUGACGCUCGUCGAUCUCUUUCUCAGACAACAUUCUCAAUCGUCUAUUAGCGAUGUCACGGCGUUCCUUUGCCGUCAGAUUUGAGUUAUCGUAAUCGUCUUCAAUGUCCCCUACCCGGGACUGGAGUUCCUUAUACCUAUGCUGACGAUGAGAUGGUUGCACUUGGUUGAUUUGGUAUGGCGUAACGAGAUUGAUUGGAGCUGCAUCCCCGAGAUCUUUCUCGUCUUGCAAGCUGCGUCUCUCUCUCGUUAUCCGUCGCUGCUGUCGUUGUUUUGGACCUUUUCUCUGCUUCAUCGGCGAUGCUUCUUGCACCUCGUCCAUCUCUUCUUCGUCUUCAUUGUACUGAUUAUACUGGCUGGCAUCAGCCAUACGCUGUUUGUUCUUCUUUGGUUUUCCCUUAAUGCGUGCUGUAUCAACAGGAACUCUGCGAAGGCGUUUCUUGCCAUUGCUAUCCGUGUAUUUCUCAUAAACCGCCUCAUCUGAGCUUUCAUCUUGAGCUUGGUCUUCUACUUUAUCCCCUCGCUCCAUAAUUUUCUUCCUUUCCCUGUUUUUCGCCUCUCCUUCAGCUGCCCCCUCAUUUUUCUCUUUCGUCUUCUUCUUUUUAAGCUUCUUCUUCUGUUUCUUUCCCUUCUUAUCGUUCUCUCUAUCCUCCCCUUCUCCUUCCUCUUCCUCUUCAUCCUCUUCCUCUUCUUCUCCCGUCUCACCAGUGCUUAACUGCUUCGUAUCUCCCUUCUUCUCCUUUUCCUUCCUGCUAUUCCUCUUGGGUAUUUCGCCUUCUGUUCGAUUAGUGUUCUUCUCCUUGUUAUUUUUGCUGGAGUUUUUAACUACCACUUUCUCUUCUUCAGACUCUUCGAUCUCUUUAAGAAUCUCCCUUUUGACAGUCUCCUUUGUUUCCGGAUCCUCGACAAGUAUUUCCACCUCUUUCAAUUCCCUGACUUUUUCGGUAUUGUCUCCCUUCUUUUCUGUCGUCUUCUUAAUCUUCUCCUCCUUUGGCUUUCUCUUUGACUUUUCAUUUUCAGCGAUGUCCUCGUCCUCAAAUGCCGCCUCGAUUUCGUUUUUCUCUUCUUCCUGUUCUUGUUCACUGACCGCUUCCUUUUUCUCUGCAUUUCGGACUUUGACCUUCCCAUCAGAGUCGUUCUUCUUUAUCCGUCGAGCCCUAUUGACUUCUUCUAUAUCAAGAGAAGUAGUAGGUCUGGAUGAGACAUCGCCGAAUCGUACUUUGGAGGUCAUAGGGAUUUUAAUUGAGGAAGGAGAGGUUGUAACUAUGGAAUGGUUUUUGUCAUAGGCCUUCAUCUUCUCUCCUUGGUCGGCCCCUCCCUGUCUAAUUUUGUUAACUUUGUUAUGGGCUUUGAGGGGCGAGAGCAGUAUGGCAAUCGGGUCGUCACCACGAUCUUUCGGAUCUCGCACGUAGAUCGGAUUGAGAUCCUGCUUCAUUGUUAGUUGUAACUCUCACUUUUUCCGCGACUUACGAUAGGACUCAUCAGAGGAGCGUCACCCCAUACUCCUGAGGUCUCCAUUCCAGGGCUUCCAACGGUAAUGUCGCCCACAUUUGCAAGGCGGGUUCUGCUCAAGUGUCCGAACAUUGUAGGUGCAUAUUUGUUACCUGGGUCCAGCCCAGGUCCCAGCGUCUCAUUCAGUCCAGGAACACGCAAUACGUCUGAAAGGGUCUUUGGCGUCGUAGCUCCUUUCGGUUGAUUAUACCAGCCCAGCUCUUCUGCUGUGAAAGUCGUCUUGGUGGGAGCCGCGGAAGUGUAGGCCCAAGGAUCUAACCCAUCCUCAGAAACAUCAGAAACAAGAAUAGGAUAGACAUGUUGCAGAGUAGCUGUUACAGGCGGGUUGGCUGAUGCAGGCGUCAUCACAGGAGUAUCGGGAGUGCGCAGAGUUUGCUUGAAGGGACCAGGGGUAGUAGGGGGUAGGUCAAAGGCAGGAACGAAGCCAGGGGUGAGUGGAGUAGCAGGACCCAUCGAGGUAAAAGGUGGCGGAUUUUCACUGGAUUGCGGAAUCCUGAUAGCCUCUGCUCCCCCUCCUGGACCAUCGCUUGAUCGAGGCCAACCACCACCUCUGGGGGUUGAAUCAUUGGGGUCUCCAUUGUAUAUUGUCCGUACUCGAUAUCUAUCGCCUGGAUUGCUCUGAACAGUAAGCUUGAGGUCAUCAGCGAUACGAAAUACGUCCGUCAUUGUGCCGGCGCGAGUGCCCGAGUGUCCAGGAGGGGAAUCUGGAGAAGUAGUUGAAGAACCUCCAUCCCGUCUUCCCCCAUGGCCAUCGCCAUCGUCGCUACCUUCUUCCCCUCUAACUCUGCUGCCGCCGUCAUCAUUCGUCCCUCCUUCAUCCUUGCCCCGCCGUCCCUCCUUAUGUUUCUUCCUCUUCUUACCAUCAUCCUGCUUCGAAUCUCGACUCUUGCGUCUGUCGUCGGGGCUGCCGUCCCUGGUUUGGCUACUGUCGUUAUCUGGGACAUCCAACUGAUUAUUUUUGCGCCGCCCGCCAAUGACAAAGGUGAAGAUGGAGGCAAAGAACAACAGCGCAAGUACUGAGACGAUGGUGAUCGCCUCUUUGGCUGCUGUUUCUGGGCUGGCCAUCUUGGGCCGUUUGAGCUCGGAAGUUCUACAGCUUUGUCAGUUUAGCUGUCCUUUCAGUAUUUCACAAGUACGUGAUGGUGUAUUGAGGCUGGUGCGGAAUGUCGCACAUGGAAUCGAGAGCUGCAGGGACCAAAAACAAAGGAACGGCAUCUCGCGAAACAUCCAAGCCGG
rnacentral:sRNA from 1 species